CCUACGGGAGGCUGCAGUGAGGAAUAGUGGUCAAGGGACGCAAGUCUGAACCAGCCAUGCCGCGUGCAGGAAGACGGCUCUAUGAGUUGUAAACUGCUUUUGUACGAGGGUAAACGCAGAUACGCGUAUCUGUCUGAAAGGAUCGUACGAAUAAGGAUCGGCUAACUCCGUGCCAGCAGCCGCGGUAAUACGGAGGAUUCAAGCGUUAUCCGGAUUUAGUGGGUUUAAAGGGUGCGUAGGCGGUCGGAUAAGUUAGAGGUGCAAUCCCGCGGCUCAACUUCGGAAUUGCCUCUGCUACUGUUCGGCUAGAGUGUAGUUUCGGUAGGCGGCAUGUCUGGUGUAGCGG
rnacentral:rRNA from 1 species